rnacentral:rRNA from 1 species
UACGAAGGGGGCUAGCGUUGCUCGGAAUUACUGGGCGUAAAGCGCACGUAGGCGGCUUUCUAAGUCGGGGGUGAAAUCCUGGAGCUCAACUCCAGAACUGCCUUCGAUACUGGAGAGCUCGAGUCCGGGAGAGGUGAGUGGAACUGCGAGUGUAGAGGUGAAAUUCGUAGAUAUUCGCAAGAACACCAGUGGCGAAGGCGGCUCACUGGCCCGGUACUGACGCUGAUGCGCGAAAGCUAGGGGAGCAAACAGG